GAUGAACGCUGGCGGCGUGCCUAAUACAUGCAAGUCGAGCGAACGGACGAGAAGCUUGCUUUUCUGAUGUUAGCGGCGGACGGGUGAGUAACACGUGGAUAACCUACCUAUAAGACUGGGAUAACUUCGGGAAACCGGAGCUAAUACCGGAUAAUAUUUUGAACCGCAUGGUUCAAAAGUGAAAGACGGUUUUGCUGUCACUUAUAGAUGGAUCCGCGCUGCAUUAGCUAGUUGGUAAGGUAACGGCUUACCAAGGCAACGAUGCUUAGCCGACCUGAGAGGGUGAUCGGCCACACUGGAACUGAGACACGGUCCAGACUCCUACGGGAGGCAGCAGUAGGGAAUCUUCCGCAAUGGGCGAAAGCCUGACGGAGCAACGCCGCGUGAGUGAUGAAGGUCUUCGGAUCGUAAAACUCUGUUAUUAGGGAAGAACAUAUGUGUAAGUAACUGUGCACAUCUUGACGGUACCUAAUCAGAAAGCCACGGCUAACUACGUG
rnacentral:rRNA from 1 species